rnacentral:rRNA from 1 species
UACGGAGGAUCCAAGCGUUAUCCGGAAUCAUUGGGUUUAAAGGGUCCGUAGGCGGUUUGGUAAGUCAGUGGUGAAAGCCCAUCGCUCAACGGUGGAACGGCCAUUGAUACUGCCAGACUUGAAUUAUUAGGAAGUAACUAGAAUAUGUAGUGUAGCGGUGAAUGCUUAGAGAUUACAUGGAAUACCAAUUGCGAAGGCAGGUUACUACUAAUGGAUUGACGCUGAUGGACGAAAGCGUGGGUAGCGGAACAGG